GUGCUCACUUCGGCAGCACAUAUACUAAAACUGGAACCAUACAAAGAAGAUUAGCAUGGCCCCUGCACAAGGAUGACAUGCAAAUUCGUGAAGUGUUCCACCUUGAG
ensembl:snRNA U6 U6 spliceosomal RNA